rnacentral:rRNA from 1 species
GAUGAACGCUAGCGGCAGGCCUAACACAUGCAAGUCGAGGGGUAGAAGCUUUCGGGCUUUGAGACCGGCGCACGGGUGCGUAACGCGUAUGCAAUCUACCUUGUACUGAGGGAUAGCCCAGAGAAAUUUGGAUUAACACCUCAUAGUAUUUUUGCCUGGCAUCAGGUGAUUAUUAAAGGUUACGGUACAAGAUGAGCAUGCGUCCCAUUAGCUAGUUGGUAUGGUAACGGCAUACCAAGGCUACGAUGGGUAGGGGUCCUGAGAGGGAGAUCCCCCACACUGGUACUGAGACACGGACCAGACUCCUACGGGAGGCAGCAGUGAGGAAUAUUGGUCAAUGGGCGCAAGCCUGAACCAGCCAUGCCGCGUGCAGGAUGAAGCAUCUAUGGUGUGUAAACUGCUUUUGUACGGGAAGAAACACUGCUACGUGUAGCAGCUUGACGGUACCGUAAGAAUAAGGAUCGGCUAACUCCGUGCCAGCCGCCGCCGUAA